AGAGUUUGAUCAUGGCUCAGGAUGAACGCUGGCGGCGUGCUUAACACAUGCAAGUCGAACGGAGUUUUUAACGGAAGUUUCGGAUGGAAGUUUAGAAACUUAGUGGCGGACGGGUGAGUAACGCGUGGGUAACCUGCCUCAUACAGGGGGAUAACAGUUAGAAAUGACUGCUAACACCGCAUAAUAUAGCGAAACCGCAUGAUUUUGCUAUCAAAUAUUUAUAGGUAUGAGAUGGGCCCGCGUCUGAUUAGCUAGUUGGUGGGGUAAAAGCCUACCAAGGCGACGAUCAGUAGCCGGCUUGAGAGAGUGACCGGCCACAUUGGGACUGAGACACGGCCCAAACUCCUACGGGAGGCAGCAGUGGGGAAUAUUGGACAAUGGGGGAAACCCUGAUCCAGCGAACCGCCGCGUGAGUGAAGAAGUAUUUCGGUAUGUAAAGCUCUAUCAGCAGGGAAGAUAAUGACAGUACCUGACUAAGAAGCCCCGGCUAACUACGUGCCAGCAGCCGC
rnacentral:rRNA from 1 species